AUACGGAGGAUCCGAGCGUUAUCCGGAUUUAUUGGGUUUAAAGGGUGCGCAGGCGGCCAUUUAAGUCAGCGGUUAAAUCGUGGGGCUCAACCCCAUUCUGCCGUUGAUACUGGGUGGCUUGAUUGCGGUCGAGGUUGGCGGAAUUCGUUGUGUAGCGGUGAAAUGCAUAGAUAUGACGAAGAACACCGAUUGCGUAGGCAGCUGACCAGACCGCAAAUGACGCUCAUGCACGAAAGUGCGGGGACCGAACAGGAUUAGAUACCCUGGUAGUCCGCACAGUAAACGAUGAAUACUUGUUUUCGGCGAUAUAAUGUCGGAGGCAAAGCGAAAGCGAUAAGUAUUCCACCUGGGGAGUACGCCGGUAACGGUGAAACUCAAAGGAAUUGACGGGG
rnacentral:rRNA from 1 species